AUUUCUGGCGGGAGCGGGUGGUCCGGCACUUUGUGUUGGUACUUUCCUGUCUCUUGCCAUCCUUGGGUCUAAGCUGUCUGGCAUUUAGUUGUCGGGCAGUGGCUGCCCAUCGUUUACUGUGAAAAAAUUAGAGUGUUCAAAGCAGGCUUAUGCCGUUGAAUAUAUUAGCAUGGAAUAAUAAGAUAGGACCUUGGUACUAUUUUGUUGGUUUGCGCACCGAGGUAAUGAUUAAGAGGGACAGUUGGGGGUAUUCGUAUUCAAUUGUCAGAGGUGAAAUUCUUGGAUUUCUGGAAGACGAACUACUGCGAAAGCAUUUACCAAGGAUGUUUUCAUUAAUCAAGAACGAAAGUUAGGGGAUCGAAGAUGAUUAGAUACCAUCGUAGUCUUAACCAUAAACUAUGCCGACUAGGGAUUUGUGGGUGUUAUUUUUGACCCCAUGAGCACCUUAUGAGAAAUCAAAGUCUUUGGGUUCCGGGGGGAGUAUGGUCGCAAGUCUGAAACU
rnacentral:rRNA from 1 species